rnacentral:rRNA from 1 species
GUCGCAAGACCAAAGAGGGGGACCUUCGGGCCUCUUGCCAUCAGAUGUGCCCAGAUGGGAUUAGCUUGUUGGUGAGGUAACGGCUCACCAAGGCGACGAUCCCUAGCUGGUCUGAGAGGAUGACCAGCCACACUGGAACUGAGACACGGUCCAGACUCCUACGGGAGGCAGCAGUGGGGAAUAUUGCACAAUGGGCGCAAGCCUGAUGCAGCCAUGCCGCGUGUAUGAAGAAGGCCUUCGGGUUGUAAAGUACUUUCAGCG